CUCGUAGAAGAGAUCUUCGCUGGGGGGCGGCCGGGGACUGAAGAGGCGGGCCAUGGUCUCCCCCGCCCCAGCCUGGAGCCCCUGCCCUGGGGACCGCGGGCACUCAGUUAAUAAGCCCGCCUGUGCGCUUUUCUUUCUCUCCUGGAGCCACUCGGACCCAAGCCCCCAAGCUUUCCAAAGCGAUAGGGUUCCCUGCCAGGGGCUUUCUCAGAGGGCUCCCAGCUGGAUGUGACAGGACUUCUCCAUCCCUCCCACAAACCAGACCGUGGUAGUGUCCUAGCAAAAAAAUCUCACCAGAGGGACAGGAGUUGGACCUGACGAGAAGGAGGCCCCAGAAUCUCCCUCUACCCAUCAACUCACUGUUUUGUAUCGAGUUCCCGAAGCUCUCUCAGCAAAGUGUGACUAUUGUUCCCCUGUGUUACGUGCACUGGAAGAUCACACAUCCCAUUGGCAGGCUCCAUUGCUGUUGUGUGUUUCAGCAGAUCAUACGUUUUAUUGGCUGACUUCAAACUCACCAUGCCACUGAGGAUGACUUUGAGCUUCUGAUCCUUCUGCUGGGAGCACAGUUUCAGCAGUAUUAAGAAUCAACUUCAAGUUUUUCUACAGUGAACCAUGAGCACGCCUAUCGGUGACCUUUGACACCAGGACUAUGAUGACGCUAUCUGAAUAUCACCAACUACAGAUCAACUUUGGACUACAAACUGCUCAGAAAAAUUUCGAGGUGGCCACCUGAGAUGAUCCAGGACUUGAGACAAACCGUGCACUUCCUCCUCAUACAGAGACUGGACAACAAAUGACACUGCUUUACAAUUAACCAAAAAAAUUUCAGGAUCUCCUAAAGAUGUCUUUGCCCCCAGAAAGCAGGAAGUAACUUUAAGAACGUGAUGCCCACAUUCCCAAAAGCUAUUGUAGGAGAAACUGAUGGUCUGCCAACCCAAGCUGCAGUGAUGCCGCCCAAACCAGCCCACAUGAGCAUUCCUGACAGGCAUGUCCUCCCUGAGCCAACCUAAGGUCUGCUGCUACACCCAGAGACUGCGGAUGCAGAGACACCUGACUGGAGACACCCAUGAGGGAAGGACAACAUAGCAGAGCCAGCCUCCUGACCUGAUGGGAACUAGGGAGGGGACAAGCCUGAUUCCCCUAUGAACGGGUUAGCUUUUGCUACUCCCGGAGUCUGUGUCAUUGACUCCAAGUCUCCUCCCUCCCUCCCUUCCUCCCUCCCUCCCUCCCUUUCUCCCUCCCUUCCUCAAGGGGUGUUCAGUAUCACCCCCAACAAGUUGUAGCCUUCUUUUUAUAUUAGACAAAAAAGGGGAAUUGUGGUGAUAUAUAUAUAUAUAUAUAUAUAUAUAUUAUGAUUUAAUAAAGCUUGCCUGAAGGUUCAGAAUGCAAAGCUAGCCACAAGCCAUA